rnacentral:rRNA from 1 species
GUCUAUGGCCACACCACCCUGAACGCGCCUGAUCUCAUCUGAUCUCGGAAGCUAAGCAGGGUCCGGCCUGGUUAGUACUUGGAUGGGAGACCACCUGGGAAUACCUGGUGCCGUAGGUUUUU